AGUGAACGCUGGCGGUAGGCCUAACACAUGCAAGUCGAACGGCAGCACAGGAGAGCUUGCUCUCUGGGUGGCGAGUGGCGGACGGGUGAGGAAUACAUCGGAAUCUACUCUGUCGUGGGGGAUAACGUAGGGAAACUUACGCUAAUACCGCAUACGACCUACGGGUGAAAGCAGGGGAUCUUCGGACCUUGCGCGAUUGAAUGAGACGAUGUCGGAUUAGCUAGUUGGCGGGGUAAAGGCCCACCAAGGCGACGAUCCGUAGCCGGUCUGAGAGGAUGAUCAGCCACACUGGAACUGAGACACGGUCCAGACUCCUACGGGAGGCAGCAGUGGGGAAUAUUGGACAAUGGGCGCAAGCCUGAUCCAGCCAUACCGCGUGGGUGAAGAAGGCCUUCGGGUUGUAAAGCCCUUUUGUUGGGAAAGAAAUCCAGCUGGUUAAUACCCGGUUGGGAUGACGGUACCCAAAGAAUAAGCACCGGCUAACUUCGUGCCAGCAGCCGCGGUAA
rnacentral:rRNA from 1 species